rnacentral:rRNA from 1 species
UGGGGAAUAUUGCACAAUGGAGGGAACUCUGAUGCAGCGACGCCGCGUGAACGAAGAAGGCUUUCGAGUCGUAAAGUUCUUUUAUAUGGGAAGAUAAUGACGGUACCAUAAGAAGAAGCCCCGGCUAACUACGUGCCAGCAUCCGCGGUAAUACGUAGGGGGCUAGCGUUGUCCGGAAUCACUGGGCGUAAAGGGUUCGCAGGCGGAAAUGCAAGUCAGGUUUAAAAGGCAGUAGCUUAACUACUGUAAGCAUUUGAAACUGCAUAUCUUGAGAAGAGUAGAGGUAAGUGGAAUUUUUAGUGUAGCGGUGAAAUGCGUAGAUAUUAAAAAGAAUACCGGUGGCGAAGGCGACUUACUGGGCUCAUUCUGAUGCUGAGGAACGAAAGCGUGGGUAGCAAACAGG